rnacentral:tRNA from 1 species
GGUCUUAUAGUGUAGUUGGUUAGCACACGGGAUUCUGACACAGAAGCUUCCCGGGACCCCGGUUCGAGUCCGGGUAGGACCU